ACUGGUAGUUCAGUUGGUUAGAAUACCGGCCUGUCACGCCGGGGGUCGCGAGUUCGAGUCUCGUCCAGUC
rnacentral:ncRNA from 12 species